CGAACGCUGGCGGCGUGCCUAAUACAUGCAAGUCGGGCGGGGCUUGAGGAGGGCUUGCCCUUCGAGAGCCCAGCGGCGGACGGGUGAGUAACACGUGGGUAACCUGCCCGUAAGACCGGGAUAACUCCGGGAAACCGGGGCUAAUACCGGAUAACACCGGGGGCCGCAUGGCUUCCGGUUGAAAGGCGGCCUUUGGCUGCCACUUACGGAUGGGCCCGCGGCGCAUUAGCUAGUUGGCGGGGUAACGGCCCACCAAGGCGACGAUGCGUAGCCGGCCUGAGAGGGUGGACGGCCACACUGGGACUGAGACACGGCCCAGACUCCUACGGGAGGCAGCAGUAGGGAAUCUUCCGCAAUGGGCGAAAGCCUGACGGAGCGACGCCGCGUGAGCGAGGAAGGCCUUCGGGUCGUAAAGCUCUGUUGUCAGGGAAGAAGGCGCGCCGUUCGAACAGGGCGGCGCGGUGACGGUACCUGACGAGGAAGCCCCGGCUAACUAC
rnacentral:rRNA from 1 species